AAACAGCACAGAUUGUAUGGGUCCCAAGAGGACCUCCAAAAUGUAUGGAGAUGGAACAUUCACCAAAUCUUCUACUAAAAUGCCUGGAACUGAGAAGAGGAAUACUGGGAAAUGCAUUCCACUCAGAAGCCAUGAGGCCUAGACCUAUAGGAAGAAGGGAAUGCAGCAAUCAGAGCUGGUUAAAUUGAGGUCUUAGCUACAGAAGCACCUGGUGGCUUCAAGGCAAAAGUUCCAGAUCAUGGACCCAUAGACGGAAGACUGGUGGUCACAGGCACCAUAAUGAGGAGAGCCAGGAUCCGACACAGCCUGCACCAGCUCGGACAAUCUUUUCACGUUCUGCUGUCUCAGGGCAAAGGUUCGGAGUCUCAUGCUGCCUUUCUGGAGAUCCGCUGUCAUGUGACAGAUCACAUGAGCCUU